CCACAGCAUGCAGAAGUUUCCAGGCCAGGGAUCGAACCCGAGCCAUGGCAGUGACAACAGUGGAGUCCUUAAACUGACAGGCUUCUAAUAAAUAUUAAACUGUUUUUAAGAUGAAAAUACUAAAGACAGUUAACAGAUUACACUAAGAAAGAUGCUAUUCAAAGUACUUGGAAAUAUUCUGCUAUGUCGAAAUAAGUAAAAAUUUUUUUCAAUCUUAUACUAUUUAUCUGUUUAGAAACCUCUUUUUACAGAUAAUGCAAAAGUAAAAAUUUUACCCACCACAAGUCAAACUGCAUUGUCAAUUCUGCCCUAGUGAACAGAAUCUGAAUUAACAGGUUGUACUGAACCACUAAGCAUAAAAGCCUCCUUCUUAGUUUACUCCCCCCAGUUACAGGAAAACUAUCAAGGAUCAGGAAACAAUGCAACAUAGACGCAAUUAUAUUAUACAAUAUACACAAAAUUACAUUGAUAAUGGAAUAUAUACACAAUGGAAUACUACUCAGCCAUAAAAAACAAGAUAAUGUCAUUUGCAUGGAACUAGAGACUCUCAUACUAAGUGAAGUCAGAAGGAGAAAAAAAAUACCAUAUGCUAUCACGUAUAUCUGGAAUCUAAUAUACAGCACCAAUGAACUUAUCUACAGAAAAUAAACGAAUUCAUGGGCAUGGAGAACAGACAUGUGGUUGUCAAGAGGGAAGGGGAGGGAGUGGGAUGGACUGGGAGUUUGGGGUUAGUAAAUGCAAACUAUUGCAUUUAAUGUGAAUAAGCAAUGAGAUUCUGCUGUAUAGAACAGGGAACUACAUCUGAUUACUUGAGAUGGAGCAUGAUGGAGGAUAAUGUGAAAAAAAAGAAUGUAUAUAUAUGUGUGUGUCUGUGUGUGUGUAUAUAUAUAUAUAUGUAUGACUGGGUCACUUUGCUGUACAGCAGAAAUUGACAGAACAUUGUAAAUUAACUGUAAUAAAAAAUUAAAAAAAAAAGAAUCAGGAAACAAGCUAUUAACCUCCUAAAUCUUUUGCUACAUUAACAGUAAAUAUUCAUUUCUGUUGUUUUAACCCACGCUGCUCUGCAAGCAAUCAAGUCUAUUUCAGAGCACCUAAUCUUUUUAGGGCGAGGGCUACCCUACUUUCUAACAUGAAAUUUAAGAUGUUCUGAGGAGACGAGAGUUGAAGGUGGGUUCCUUCAUAGAGCCAUACUGCUGAGUUCAUUCACAGCCCAACUCCACUGCCUACUAGCUUUGCAACCACAGCAGAGUUAAGAGACUGCUGUAAAAAUAAGUUGAUGCACACAGAGCCCUUAGAACUGUACUUGGUACAGAUUUUUUAAAAUAUAUAUUUUACCUGUAUCAAAUAAGAGUGAAGAGUUCCUGCUGUGGCUCAGCACAUUCAAGAAAAAUAACUGAGAUAAAACCCCAAACAUCCCCUAAACAAUGUCCAAAAGAAUCUCUUUGAAAUCAUUUACUAAAGUAACCUCUUCCAAAAUUUAACUAACCCCAGGCACUGAAGCAACAGGAGGAAUAAAUCACAUUUAAGUUAUGACUCUUUAGAAUGUACUGAACAAGUCUGAGACAUACUAAGGAAAAAAAAAAUAUAUUAAAAAUAGCCAAGAGAAGGCAGGGGCUAAAAGACAAAGGCCAGAGGUGAGAUCUAAAUUAGAAACAUAUAACGUCUGGAGAACUAUCCAUAUAAGGGUGUCUUUAAAUCAGUAACUAAGUUAGGAUAAUCCACAGGGCCAAAUAAACAGCUGCCAUCAUGGUAGUGGCUGAUUCUCCAUCUCUCAUUCAGAAAUCUCUGGGAAGUCUCAGGAGACAAAUAAAAUAGGACUUUUACGCUAUUAAGUUCAAUUAUGCCCAACAAUGUUUAAUAUGCCCCAAAAGCAGCCAUUAAAAAAAAAAAAAAUGUUUGUAGGUAUUUCCAAAGCUGUCUCAACUUUCCAAGUCCCAGAUGAGAAACUCACAUGCUUUGAUCUUGCCUUGUCACAAAAGUACGCAAAAGCAAUAGCAGAGGAUAAAACAGCUGCCGAGCCUUCUACCGCCUCUGGUAGACCGCCCUUACCCUUCCCGACAUGGAUUUCCUGAUUCCCAGAGUCGGUUGCGGUUUUUCUCUCAUUCACUUAUUCAUGAGACUCCCAAGGAGCCUCUCAAGCGGGUGCCAAGCACGACAAAGAGAGAAUAAAUAAGGAUCUUACCGUCUAGGGGAUCCGCGUAGCAUGGAAGGCAGACACCAAAAUAACUGCAAGGCAGGGUAAAGCCUCUAAUGGAAGUUUGCAUAAAAGGAAGAGUUGCAACCGUCUUUGGGGCUUGGGGGAAGGGUCCGCGAUAGAAAUGACUGGGCAGAGCAAGAGUGAAAGGCGUUUCAGCAGA
ensembl:lncRNA